AUGGCUCAGGAUGAACGCUAGCGACAGGCCUAACACAUGCAAGUCGAGGGGCAGCGCGGGAGAAGCUUGCUUUCCUGGCGGCGACCGGCGCACGGGUGCGUAACAGGUGUGCAAUCUGUCCAUAGUCGGGGGAUAGCCCAGCGAAAGCUGAAUUAACACUCCAUGUGAAUCGAAGCCGCAUGACUUUGAUUUGAAACGCAAGGACUAUGGGUGAGCACGCUUCUGAUUAGGUAGUUGGUGGGGUAACGGCCCACCAAGCCGACGAUCAGUAGGGUUCUGAGAGGAAGGUCCCCCACAUUGGAACUGAGACACGGUCCAAACUCCUACGGGAGGCAGCAGUGAGGAAUAUUGGUCAAUGGGCGAGAGCCUGAACCAGCCAAGUCGCGUGAAAAGGAUGAAGGUUCUAUGGAUUGUAAACUUCUUUUGUCCGAGGGUAAAAAAGGUCACGUGUGACUUCUUGCAAGUAUCGGACGAAUAAGCAUCGGCUAACUCCGUGCCAGCAGCCGC
rnacentral:rRNA from 1 species